AUUGAACGCUGGCGGCAUGCCUUACACAUGCAAGUCGAACGGCAGCACGGGGCAACCUGGUGGCGAGUGGCGAACGGGUGAGUAAUGUAUCGGAACGUACCUUUCAGUGGGGGAUAACGUAGCGAAAGUUACGCUAAUACCGCAUAUUCUGUGAGCAGGAAAGCAGGGGAUCGCAAGACCUUGCGCUGAUUGAGCGGCCGAUAUCAGAUUAGCUAGUUGGUGAGGUAAAGGCUCACCAAGGCGACGAUCUGUAGCGGGUCUGAGAGGAUGAUCCGCCACACUGGAACUGAGACACGGUCCAGACACCUACGGGUGGCAGCAGUAGGGAUAUUGCGCAAUGGGCGAAAGCCUGACGCAGCGAUGCCGCGUGAGUGACGAAGGUCUUAGGAUUGUAAAGCUCUUUUCUGAGGGAAGAAUAGGUCUGGUAGGAAAUGACUGGAUUCUGACGGUACCUCAGGAAUAAGGAACGGCUAACUCCG
rnacentral:rRNA from 1 species